ACCUCCUCCCCCAGUGACAAUCAGUGCCCGGCUGAGCAUCCAGGCCUUGCCCGUCCCCGGGUGCCCUGGAAAUGGGAGACGGCUCGGCAGUGUCUGAGGCCAGGCACUGAGAUUGAGCUCCUUCCUGUCCCUUGGAGCCUGGCUUGGCCCAUGGGACUUAGCUGGUCAGCACUGUCCACAAAGCUCACAUGUAGCAGUCAGAGGUUGACCAGUGAGGCACAGCACUCCUUAAGAGGCAGAGUUGGCCAAGGCCAACAACUACGCAGGCCACUAUGUGCCAGACCCAGCCAUGUUUGUCCUUGCUUCCUCCUCAUCUUUGCAGUAUCCCGCCUCCCCCUCUGCGCUUUGAGAUCCCUUCAUCUUCUCUUCUGCUUCUCCCUGGCAUUCUUACCCACACAACCCUCCUGAAGGCCAGUGGAGGGCAAAAUGACUGGAGCACCGUCUAUCCAGGAGCAGCUUGUUUCCUCUCUCUUCCAGCAAGGGCAGGCAAGCCCAUGAAGAAGGGCACCCUAGACAUGUUCAACACCCUGGUGGUGGCUCCCGCCCGGGAGGUGGGAUCUGGAGCCUGGCGAAGCACCUCUUGGGAUGGGAGUCUUGUUCAAGAGGUUAGGCAUCCAGGAGUCAAGUGUGGCAUGCAGUGGUGAUCAGCCUCAAUGACCAGGAACGGCAUGAAAGAACACUCAGGAUGCACCCAGAAGAACGAGCAAGGUGCCUUGACCAGCGCCUGGAAGUACUGCUUUGUAUUAGCCACUUUUCUGCUGCUGAGAAAACACCUGGCGAAAACAACCUAAGGAAGGAAGGAAGGAGGGGUCUACUUUGCCUCACUGUUUAGGAAUAUAGUCUAUCACGGCAAGGAAGACACCGUGGCAGGUUUAGGAUUGGGACAGAAUUUCUAACAAUUUCUGAAAUGGCUAUAAACUUUCUCCUGAUACUUUGUACUCCGUCUUUCUUCUUGCAAAUUAGUGUUCCCAGCACUAACCAUCAGAAAAUCAAAAUAUUGGACAACCAUGAAAAACAUUGAAGAUGUCAGCCUAUGGUAUCAAAUACUCAAUACUUAAUUCUUUAUAUAAAAAAAUCAUAUCCAUCUCAUUAGUGUGCAAAUUUCUUUCAUCACUGAAUGGUAAAAUUAUAUGUAUAUCAAGAAAUUGAUUUGAAAUAAAUUCGUUUAUGAUUUA